rnacentral:rRNA from 1 species
UACGUAGGGGGCAAGCGUUGUCCGGAAUCAUUGGGCGUAAAGAGCGUGUAGGCGGCCCGAUAAGUCCGCUGUGAAAGUCCAGGGCUCAACCCUGGAAUGCCGGUGGAUACUGUCGGGCUCGAAUCCGGAAGAGGUGAGUGGAAUUCCUGGUGUAGCGGUGAAAUGCGCAGAUAUCAGGAGGAACACCAAUGGCGAAGGCAGCUCACUGGGACGGUAUUGACGCUGAGACGCGAAAGCGUGGGAGCAAACAGGAUGAU